rnacentral:tRNA from 2 species
AGGGCUAUCGCCAAGUGGUAAGGCACAGGACUUUGACUCCUGCAUCCGGCAGUUCGAAUCUACCUAGCCCCA